rnacentral:pre_miRNA from 1 species
AAGAGAUACACAAGCCAAGCCUCAAAUAAACAAUCCCAACAGAUUACAAAUCAUUUGGCCUUGAAUUUCAUUUGUAAUAUGUUGGGGUUGUGAUUUCAGGCUUGGCUUGUGUAUCU